GCUGGGCGCAGUGGUGCACGCCUGUAAUCCCAGCAGCUAGGGAGGCUGAGGCAGGAGGAUCGCCAAGCUCAAAGCCAGCCUCAGCAAAAGCCAGGCGUUAAGCAACUCAGUGAGAUCCUGUCUCUA
rnacentral:sRNA from 1 species